AGAUAUAUUUAUACUUGAUCUGUCUGUUAAUUUGUUAUAUUUGCUAUCUAUGGCUAGGUUAGCUUCAUAUUUAUCCCGCAGACAUGAGAGUGGUGUUGUCACGGCUGGUUGGCACGAAAGCAAAUUAACCGUUACUGAAAGCAUCGCGUUAUUCCUCAGCAUCACUUACAAACAGGAAGAAUUACAAUCGGUGGCGCAGUAGGCCCAUAUGGCCUGAGGAACAAACGACCUCUUCAACCUGUCAGUGGCAACAAUCUUAACUGUCUUUAUCAAAUAUAUAUAAAUAUAUGUCAACAUGAAUUUAAGACAGUAGAUUUUCAUCUGAUGCUGUUUUUCUGAAAUGUAUUGACCUAGCCGAACAUCCAGAAUUCCCUCUAGAGACAAAGUUGCCAGCCACAGCUGCAGCGGUUCCUCCUGGGGAACGCUCAAAGAGAAGCCUGGCCCCUGACACAGCUGGGACUUGGUCCACAGAGAGAGAAGGAGGUGACAGGAAUGGCAUUGCCUCCAAAAAAAAUCCUGUUGGUAAUAAAUAUAUAUAUAUAUAAAUGUUGAGGAGAGAGGCUAAACUUAGAUGGGACCGAAGAAGGGUUAAGGAUGGAUUUAAUUCCAAGCCCGCCAGAUUUGUUCCUCCCUGCCUUGCCGGAUGCCAAUGUCAACUGUUCACAGCAUGGAGCCUGGCAUUGCACCCAUCACAACAAAAAGAUUAGCGCAGGGAGAGGUGCCAUGUACAAGAGAGAAGCUUCAUCCCACAAAUUAUUCCCUGUUCUGCUGGUGGUGGGGUGGAUUGUCGGCUGCCUAGCAGUUGCCUACUUUGUCUUCAUUUUUCCCUGGAAAAAAGGUAUGUGAAGAAGAAAUUGAAUUCAUCAGGGAAAUGAAGCUUUCUUUGAAGGGGACACGGAGAAGAAAAAGAUCUCUACAUCUUGAUAUUAAAUUUCUAUUAGAAACUUACUGUCAGCUUUUUUUGGCAGACAUGUGUAAUAUAUAAAUAUUAAAUGCGUAAAAUUGAGCAAUAAAUUUAAAUGGCUCUUGGCCAUGGUCCAGUGGUGAUGAUGUUAGUCUGAGAACAAAGUUUCUGUGGCUACGAGCCAUGAAUAACUGUCUGUCGUGUUAUAUUAAUCAAAUAAACAUAGAUCUGCA